rnacentral:rRNA from 1 species
AACGGCCGUACCAUGCUGAAUAUACCGGUUCUCGUUGGAUCACCGAAGUCAAGCAUCAUUGGGCGCGGUCAGUACUUGGGUGGGUGACCACCUGGGAACACUGCGUGCCGUU